rnacentral:tRNA from 1 species
AGGGAUGUAGCGCAGCUUGGUAGCGUGUUUGUUUUGGGUACGAAAUGUCACGGGUUCAAAUCCUGUCAUCCCUA